AACGAAAUAGCUUAGUUUGGAGAGCGUUAGACUAUAGGGCGAAAAGUACCCGGUUCGAUCCCGGGUUCCGGCA
rnacentral:tRNA from 1 species